rnacentral:rRNA from 1 species
UACGGGGGGGGCAAGCGUUGUUCGGAAUUACUGGGCGUAAAGGGCGCGUAGGCGGCCUGCUAAGUCGAACGUGAAAUCCCUGGGCUCAACCCAGGAACUGCGUCCGAUACUGGUUGGCUUGAAUCCGGGAGAGGGACGUGGAAUUCCAGGUGUAGCGGUGAAAUGCGUAGAUAUCGGGAGGAACACCAGUGGCGAAGGCGGCGACCUGGACAGAUAUUGACGCUAAGGUGCGAAAGCGUGGGGAGCAAACAGG